rnacentral:rRNA from 1 species
GUGUCAGCAGCCGCGGUAAUACGUAGGGAGCAAGCGUUGUUCGGAUUUACUGGGCGUAAAGGGCGCGUAGGCGGCGCGGUAAGUCACUUGUGAAAUCUCUGAGCUUAACUCAGAACGGCCAAGUGAUACUGCAGUGCUAGAGUGCAGAAAGGGCAAUCGGAAUUCUUGGUGUAGCGGUGAAAUGCGUAGAUAUCAAGAGGAACACCUGAGGCGAAGGCGGGUUGCUAGGCUGACACUGACGCUGAGUGCGCGAAAGCCAGGGGAGCAAACGGGAUUAGAUACCCCGGUAGUCCUGGCCCUAAACGAUGAAUACUUGGUGUCUGGAGUUUCAAUACUCCGGGUGCCGUCGCUAACGUUUUUAGUAUUCCGCCUGGGGAGUACGCUCGCAAGAGUGAA